rnacentral:rRNA from 1 species
GACGAACGCUGGCGGCGUGCUUAACACAUGCAAGUCGAACGGUGAAGCGCCUUCCUUUUUGGUGGGUGUGGAUGAGUGGCGAACGGGUGAGUAACACGUGAGUAACCUGCCCCCUUCUUCUGGAUAACCGCAUGAAAGUGUGGCUAAUACGGGAUAUUCUGGGUCUGUCGCAUGAUGGGUCUGGGAAAGAUAUUGUUUCGGUGGGGGAUGGGCUCGCGGCCUAUCAGCUUGGUGGUGGGGUGAUGGCCUACCACGGCGGUGACGGGUAGCCGGCCUGAGAGGGUGGACGGGCACAUGGGGACGGAGACACGGCCCAGACUCCUACGGGAGGCAGCAGUGGGGAAUAUUGCACAAUGGGCGCAAGCCUGAUGCAGCGACGCCGCGUGAGGGAUGGAGGCCUUCGGGUUGUGAACCUCUUUCGCCAGUGAAGCAGGCCUGCCUCGUUUGUGGGUGGGUUGACGGUAGCUGGAGAAGAAGCGCCGGCUAACUACGUG